CCACCAUAUUGUGAGGAAGUCCAGGCCACACGGAGAAGCUAGAUGUGGAUGUUCUGACCAAGAGCCCCAGCUAGAUUCCCAGACAAUCACCAGACAGGAAUUCCCAGGAAAGUCAGAGACAGACAGCGAUCACCAUGCAAGGCAACAAAUGCCAAAGAGAGGAGGACUGCAGUGUGGGAGCCGUGGAGCCACGAAGAAGCCCUGGGACUCUUGGAAGACUCCACUGGGAAGAGGUGGUUUAAACUGGGUUUUGAAGAAUCGAGAAGGAGAAUCAGCCAAAGAAAUGUGCCAAGAUGCCAAGCUGAGAUAAUUCCAUAGGGCUACAGUGUAAGAGACAGAUCCAGGAAGGUGGGUCCAGGAAGGUGGCAGGGCCACAUCCUGACAAGCCACUGCUGUUAAUGAUGAAGAGCAGGGAGCCUGUGCAGCCUUGGAUUUCAUGGGAUAAUGCCUCCUAAGGCCCUGCUUGGGACAUUAGGCACUCACCCAGCCUCCUGCCCAUGCCAAUGGAGCAGGGGUUCCCUCCAAGUCCUGUCCCGGAAUGGUUCUGUUCCCAGGGAGGAUAGGAACUCGAAUUUGUGGAGCAGCUACUUGAUGUGCCAAACAUUUGUGUUCUCUUCAGCAAGAGGAUACUUGCUGGUGUGCCUGGGAGACUGUCCCAGGAUAAAUGGGGAGUGUCUUUCUAGAAUGUUAAUUGCACUCAAAGAUUGGGGAGGGAAAAUCAAUUAGUGUAAAUGGUAAAUAACUUAAAACAUUAUUUUUACAUCACAUCAAUAGUGGAUAUAUUAUGGAGCAGAAUGCUAAAGUAACACACAUUUUUCUUAAUUUCAUUUAUCAUUUGGAAAGGUAACACGAGCUCAUGAUACAAAAUUCAAAACAUGUAAGAGUUUAGAAUAGGCCGGGUGUGAGCUACUGUGCCCAGCCUUCCUUGCCUCUUAAGUCUAUACACAGUAAACAAUAGUUUUUUUCCCAAUCUUUCUGACCUUUGCCAAUCUGAUGGGUGAAAGCUGUAUCUCAUUAGAGUUUAUUUGCUCUUCCUGUAUUACGAAAGAGGUGGAGUCUCUCUUUUAUAUUCAAGGGGUCUUUGUAUUUCACAUUCCGGGAACUGACCCUUCAUAUCAUUCACCCAUUUUUCUAUUGUAUUAUUGG
rnacentral:lncRNA from 10 species